AAUUUUUUCCGCUCGGCUUGAAUUGGAAAAGAGUCUGACAAUGUACUCAUGGAUUAUAUAACUUUGUAUUUGUUCCAGGUCUUGUUAGGUGAUGGUAUUGCCAAAUUCUUUCACUUGUUCAAAAGAAGACUUGGAAAUCAUGGCAGUGUGACCCCAAACUUUGAGGUACCUACGUUAAUGACGGUGAAAGCUUAAACCUUGGUUAAUUUGGAGACGACGAGACGAACGAUAUUUACAAGUAAUGACCAUAAUUUGGAAGUUUCGGUGGACAGUGAUAUCAUGGUCUUUCCUGCGAUAGACAUGAAAGACUGGGGAUGGUGAUCAUUUGUUUGGUUCUCUUGCGAAUUUAUAUGUUCGCCGAAAUGUCUCUGCUGCCUCCUUGUUUCAGGGGAACUGCCAAAGAAGCAUGGAAGCAUGAUGUGUAAGAACAGAAUAUCGGGCGGUUGUCUCAGCAUUUGAUGGUUGCAGGAUUCAGAAGAAUGUAGUUGUAGUUGCAGUUGCAGUUGUUUGUUGUACAUUAAUCUAUGUAGGUUUUCGGAUUUUCUGUGCCCUUCCAAUUCUGGGAAGAGGUGGUGUUCUAGUUCUGGGAAGGAAAUUUUUUCCUUUCGCACGCUUA